rnacentral:rRNA from 1 species
GAUGAACGCUGGCGGCGUGCCUAAUACAUGCAAGUCGAGCGAACAGACGGGGAGCUUGCUCCUCUGACGUUAGCGGCGGACGGGUGAGUAACACGUGGAUAACCUACCUAUAAGACUGGGAUAACUUCGGGAAACCGGAGCUAAUACCGGAUAAUAUAUUGAACCGCACGGUUCAAUAGUGAAAGACGGUUUUGCUGUCACUUAUAGAUGGAUCCGCGCCGCAUUAGCUAGUUGGUAAGGUAACGGCUUACCAAGGCAACGAUGCGUAGCCGACCUGAGAGGGUGAUCGGCCACACUGGAACUGAGACACGGUCCAGACUCCUACGGGAGGCAGCAGUAGGGAAUCUUCCGCAAUGGGCGAAAGCCUGACGGAGCAACGCCGCGUGAGUGAUGAAGGUCUUCGGAUCGUAAAACUCUGUUAUUAGGGAAGAACAAAUGUGUAAGUAACUAUGCACGUCUUGACGGUACCUAAUCAGAAAGCCACGGCUAACUACGUG